UGGCGGCGAGUGGCGAACGGGUGAGUAAAGUAUCGGAACGUGCCUAGGAGUGGGGGAUAACUAGUCGAAAGAUUAGCUAAUACCGCAUACGCCCUGAGGGGGAAAGUGGGGGAUCGCAAGACCUCAUGCUUUUAGAGCGGCCGAUAUCUGAUUAGCUAGUUGGUAGGGUAAAAGCCUACCAAGGCGACGAUCAGUAGCUGGUCUGAGAGGACGACCAGCCACACUGGGACUGAGACACGGCCCAGACUCCUACGGGAGGCAGCAGUGGGGAAUUUUGGACAAUGGGGGCAACCCUGAUCCAGCAAUGCCGCGUGUGUGAAGAAGGCCUUCGGGUUGUAAAGCACUUUUGUCCGGGAAGAAAUCCCCUGAGCUAAUAUCUCGGGGGGAUGACGGUACUGGAAGAAUAAGCACCGGCUAACUACGUGCCAGCAGCCGCGGUAAUACGUAGGGUGCGAGCGUUAAUCGGAAUUACUGGGCGUAAAGCGUGCGCAGGCGGUUGUGCAAGACAGAUGUGAAAUCCCCGGGCUCAACCUGGGAACUGCAUUUGUGACUGCACGGCUAGAGUGUGUCAGAGGGGGGUAGAAUUCCACGUGUAGCAGUGAAAUGCGUAGAUAUGUGGAGGAACACCGAUGGCGAAGGCAGCCCCCUGGGAUAACACUGACGCUCAUGCACG
rnacentral:rRNA from 1 species